ensembl:lncRNA FAM95B1 family with sequence similarity 95 member B1
GAGUGGGAGACAGAGAGACAAGUGUGCUCAGAGGGCACCCAUAUCUGCAUAUAACGUGGUCCUGAAUUUCUGGCUGGGAAGUGCUUCCAGGGUUUCAUAUGUGUUAUGGAGAUGCUUCCUCUCUCCAACCUCACCGUGCAGGAAUCCCAGUGAAUAUAUUGCCACCAUCUUGGAGCUCAGUGCCCUCAUAGUGUAACAGCACCAGCAGAUCUGCCUGUGCACAGACUUCCUGUACUACCUCACUCCUGAGGGGAGAUGCUUCUGCAGGGCCUGCGACCUGGUGCACAACUUUAGACACCAUCAUCCUGGAGCGGCACUGCACCCUCACUAGCCAGGGUGUUGAUGACUUCCUCAAUGCCAAGGCCACGUUCAAGAUUUUCGACUUCAGUGAUGCGUUUGUGCUGAGCAAGCCAAGAGACCCAAGCCUGCCUUGCUGCCACUUAGGAUAUGACAGCACAGCCAGUGGCCUCUACUGGAUCCUGGUACCCCUCAGAAGACACCCAGACACUGGGAGUGCUGCCACCUCGUGGUGCAAGAGUUCUGAGGGACGGCAAUUCUGAAGACAUUGAAUGCCGUUUUGCACACCCUGGUCAGAAUGAAACAUUCCUUGGGAACUCGGGCCGUGAGAAGCAUCCUUCCUGAUCACCUGACUGUAGAAACAUCCUUAUCGCACCCUCCCGGGCAAAGGCCCAACAGCCUGACUGCAGGAACAUCCUUGCCAUAUCCUGCCGGGCAGCAAGCUCUACCGCCCACACCCCUCCUUCCCAGUCCCAUGAUCACCCCAGCCUG